GGCCUACACAUGCAAGUCGAGCGGUAGAGAGGUGCUUGCACCUCUUGAGAGCGGCGGACGGGUGAGUAAUGCCUAGGAAUCUGCCUGGUAGUGGGGGAUAACGCUCGGAAACGGACGCUAAUACCGCAUACGUCCUACGGGAGAAAGCAGGGGACCUUCGGGCCUUGCGCUAUCAGAUGAGCCUAGGUCGGAUUAGCUAGUUGGUGAGGUAAUGGCUCACCAAGGCGACGAUCCGUAACUGGUCUGAGAGGAUGAUCAGUCACACUGGAACUGAGACACGGUCCAGACUCCUACGGGAGGCAGCAGUGGGGAAUAUUGGACAAUGGGCGAAAGCCUGAUCCAGCCAUGCCGCGUGUGUGAAGAAGGUCUUCGGAUUGUAAAGCACUUUAAGUUGGGAGGAAGGGCAUUAACCUAAUACGUUAGUGUUUUGACGUUACCGACAGAAUAAGCACCGGCUAACUCUGUGCCAGCAGCCGCGGUAAUACAGAGGGUGCAAGCGUUAAUCGGAAUUACUGGGCGUAAAGCGCGCGUAGGUGGUUCGUUAAGUUGGAUGUGAAAUCCCCGGGCUCAACCUGGGAACUGCAUUCAAAACUGUCGAGCUAGAGUAUGGUAGAGGGUGGUGGAAUUUCCUGUGUAGCGGUGAAAUGCGUAGAUAUAGGAAGGAACACCAGUGGCGAAGGCGACCACCUGGACUGAUACUGACACUGAGGUGCGAAAGCGUGGGGAGCAAACAGGAUUAGAUACCCCUGGUAGUCCACGCCGUAAACGAUGUCAACUAGCCGUUGGGAGCCCUUGAGCUCUUAGUGGCGCAGCUAACGCAUUAAAGUUGACCGCCUGGGGAGUACGGCCCGCAAGGUUAAAAAUCAAAUGAUUUGACGGGGCCCGACACAAGCGGGGGGAGCUUGUG
rnacentral:rRNA from 1 species